rnacentral:rRNA from 1 species
GACGAACGCUGGCGGCGUGCUUAACACAUGCAAGUCGAACGGAAAGUGCUCUUCGGAGUGACUCGAGUGGCGAACGGGUGAGUAACACGUGGGUGAUCUGCCCUGCACUUUGGGAUAAGCCUGGGAAACUGGGUCUAAUACCGAAUAGGACCAUGGCAUUCAUGUGCUGUGGUGGAAAGCUUUUGCGGUGUGGGAUGGGCCCGCGGCCUUUCAGCUUGUUGGUGGGGUGAUGGCCUACCAAGGCGCCGACGGGUAGCCGGCCUGAGAGGGUGACCGGCCACACUGGGACUGGGAUACGGACCAGACUCCUACGGGAGGCAGCAGUGGGGAAUAUUGCACAAUGGGCGCAAGCCUGAUGCAGCGACGCCGCGUGAGGGAUGACGGCCUUCGGGUUGUAAACCUCUUUCAGUAGGGACGAAGCGCAAGUGACGGUACCUAUAGAAGAAGGACCGGCCAACUACGUGCCAGCCGCCGCGGUAAAAC